AUUUCUUUUUUCUUAGUUCUUUUUCUUAUCUUUUCUGUACGUGUGUUGGAGCUGGGUUGUAUUAUUUUUUUUGUUAUUUUCUCUCGCAUUUAGAGAGCCCAAUUGCUGUUGUCGAUUCUUUGGUUGCUAGUUCGACUCUUCUUGUAUGUCACUGGUGGCGGCGGAAGCAACUGGUGGUUGUGUCGCGAAUCUCUUGUCUUCUUCGUGCGGUUGGAGCGGCAUUUGGAGCGGGGAAUUGCAGAAGUGCGAGGGUUGCUUGGGUCCUUCUUCGACUUAUAUUGGACUCCGGUGUGGACUUGAGAAGCGGCUGGGGCUAUUAAUCAUGCUACGUUUCUUCCUAUCAUAGUUCCACUGGUUGAAGCUACAGGCAUUGUCUAGGUUCCUUUUUGGUAUUUUAUUUUUUUGGUUGCGUGAGUUGCGAUCUGUUUGACGUCCAUGGUAUAAAGCUUGUGCGAUUGCUGGGUUCA